CGGAGGAUGCGAGCGUUAUCCGGAUUUAUUGGGUUUAAAGGGUGCGUAGGCGGCUUUAUAAGUUAGUGGUAAAAUUUCGGAGCUUCACUCCGGUCCGCCAUUAAAACUGUAGAGCUAGAGAAUGGACGAGGUAGGCGGAAUAAGUUAAGUAGCGGUGAAAUGCAUAGAUAUAACUUAGAACUCCGAUAGCGAAGGCAGCUUACCAGACCAUAACUGACGCUGAUGCACGAGAGCGUGGGUAGCGAACAGGAUUAGAUACCCUGGUAGUCCACGCCGUAAACGAUGCUCACUGGAUCUUGGCGAUACACCGCCAGGGUUCAAGCGAAAGUAUUAAGUGAGCCACCUGGGGAGUACGUCGGCAACGAUGAAACUCAAAGGAAUUGACGGGGGCCCGCACAAGCGGAGGAACAUGUGGUUUAAUUCGAUGAUACGCGAGGAACCUUACCCGGGCUUGAAAGUUACUGACGAUUCUGGAAACAGGAUUUCCCUUCGGGGCAGGAAACUAGGUGCUGCAUGGUUGUCGUCAGCUCGUGCCGUGAGGUGUCGGGUUAAGUCCCAUAACGAGCGCAACCCCUACCGUUAGUUGCCAUCAGGUCAAGCUGGGCACUCUGGCGGGACUGCCGGUGUAAGCCGAGAGGAAGGUGGGGAUGACGUCAAAUCAGCACGGCCCUUACGUCCGGGGCUACACACGUGUUACAAUGGUAGGUACAGAGGGUCGCUACCCCGCGAGGGGAUGCCAAUCUCGAAAGCCUAUCUCAGUUCGGAUUGGAGGCUGAAACCCGCCUCCAUGAAGUUGGAUUCGCUAGUAAUCGCGCAUCAGCCAUGGCGCGGUGAAUACGUUCCCGGGCCUUGUACACACCGCCCGUCAAGCCAUGGAAGCUGGGGGUGCCUGAAGUUCGUGACCGCAAGGAGCGACCUAGGGCAAAACCGGUAACUGGGGCUAAGUCGUAACAAGGUAGCCGUACCGGAAGGUGCGGCUG
rnacentral:rRNA from 1 species